rnacentral:misc_RNA from 1 species
CCUGUUCGGCUGUUCCGUUUGAAUCUCCGCCGUAGACCUCCCUCCCCAUCCAAUCAGUAUCGAACAACAGGAAUGGAAACCAUGCAAUCCAGUUCAGGCACGUCACCAGAAGAAGGAUCCACAUGGGUUUUUGCAGAUUCUUUAAAGCGGCAAAUAUCUCACCGAAGAACGGCAUCGGAGACGACUCAAAUGGCCCGUCUUCCUCCUCCUCAGCAUCACCGGCAGCGGCGUUUCCCUGUUCCGGUGACCAUUGCUUUUCGCGAACAUAAGUGAGAGCUAGUACCGUGAGAGUUAAAAGCAAGAAAAUGGAGAUAAAGAAACAAGAUUUCAGAUUUGCACAAUAAACGUCGCAAGCUUUGGUCUUUGUGAAUGGGAAAAUUUUAUAUAAAUGAGUGUAGGCACCAGCGGCGAAGCCAAGAACGUUCCCAACGGCCAUGAAGAAGGAGAAUAGUGCAUUAGCUGUACGUGUCUUCUUCUGAUUAGAACCAGAAAGAUCGGCCAGGAGAGCACGGCAAGGACCCUGGAGCAUGUUAUUAGCGACGUCGAGAAUCCAGAACCCGACGACAAACACAGCUAUAGCUCGUGGUUUGGGGCUCUUGGCAAUAGGGUCACCAGAGAGGUGACCAAGGUCAGCAGCAUAGCCGAUAAGGAAAACAGCCACGGCAACGGCGAAAGAACCGGCAGCAAUAAAAGGGCGGCGACGGCCAAAACGGGAGGUGCAACGAUCACUGUGGUAGCCUACAAUAGGCUGGACAAGCAUUCCUGAAAUAGGUCCACAGAGCCAAAUGAAAGCAGCCCAAGUGUGAGGAAUGCCAAGGAGCUGAACGUAAGGGGUUAAAAGAGAGAGCUGCAAGGCCCAGCCAAACUGGAUACCCGCAGCUAUAGAGGCCACCAUUACAAUCUUUCUAAUAGAGGCUGAAGAGGGUGGUGGAGGAGGUGGAAGAGGGUGAUCAGAAGAGGCGAGUUUGGGUUCUUUCCUAGGAUCAGCUUCCAUGGUGGUAGUGAGAAGAAGAAGAAGAAGAAGAAGAAGA